rnacentral:rRNA from 1 species
CGAACGCUGGCGGCGUGCCUAAUACAUGCAAGUAGCACGCUGAAGAGAGGAGCUUGCUCUUCUUGGAUGAGUUGCGAACGGGUGAGUAACGCGUAGGUAACCUGCCUUGUAGCGGGGGAUAACUAUUGGAAACGAUAGCUAAUACCGCAUAACAAUGGAUGACACAUGUCAUUUAUUUGAAAGGGGCAAUUGCUCCACUACAAGAUGGACCUGCGUUGUAUUAGCUAGUAGGUGAGGUAAUGGCUCACCUAGGCGACGAUACAUAGCCGACCUGAGAGGGUGAUCGGCCACACUGGGACUGAGACACGGCCCAGACUCCUACGGGAGGCAGCAGUAGGGAAUCUUCGGCAAUGGGGGCAACCCUGACCGAGCAACGCCGCGUGAGUGAAGAAGGUUUUCGGAUCGUAAAGCUCUGUUGUAAGUCAAGAACGGGUGUGAGAGUGGAAAGUUCACACUGUGACGGUAGCUUACCAGAAAGAGACGGCUAACUACGUG